GGUGACCAGCGGAGGGAUCAUUAUAGAGUUUUCUAAACUCCCAACCCAUGUGAACUUACCUUUUGUUGCCUCGGCAGAAGUUAUAGGUCUUCUUAUAGCUGCUGCCGGUGGACCAUUAAACUCUUGUUAUUUUAUGUAAUCUGAGCGUCUUAUUUUAAUAAGUCAAAACUUUCAACAACGGAUCUCUUGGUUCUGGCAUCGAUGAAGAACGCAGCGAAAUGCGAUAAGUAAUGUGAAUUGCAGAAUUCAGUGAAUCAUCGAAUCUUUGAACGCACAUUGCGCCCAUUAGUAUUCUAGUGGGCAUGCCUGUUCGAGCGUCAUUUCAACCCUUAAGCCUAGCUUAGUGUUGGGAAUCUACUUCUCUUAGGAGUUGUAGUUCCUGAAAUACAACGGCGGAUUUGUAGUAUCCUCUGAGCGUAGUAAUUUUUUUCUCGCUUUUGUUAGGUGCUAUAACUCCCAGCCGCUAAACCCCCAAUUUUUUGUGGUUGACCUCGGAUCAGGUAGGAAUACCCGCUGAACUUAAGCAUAUCAAUAAGCGGAGGAAAAGAAACCAACAGGGAUUGCCUUAGUAACGGCGAGUGAAGCGGCAACAGCUCAAAUUUGAAAUCUGGCCCUUGGGUCCGAAUUGUAAUUUGUAGAGGAUGAUUUUGGUGCGGUAUCUUCCGAGUUCCUUGGAACAGGACGCCUUAGAGGGUGAGAGCCCCGUACGGUUGAAUGCCUAGCCUCUGUAAAUCUCCUUCGACGAGUCGAGUAGUUUGGGAAUGCUGCUCUAAAUGGGAGGUAAAUUUCUUCUAAAGCUAAAUAUUGGCCAGAGACCGAUAGCGCACAAGUAGAGUGAUCGAAAGAUGAAAAGCACUUUGAAAAGAGGGUUAAAUAGCACGUGAAAUUGUUGAAAGGGAAGGAUUUGUGACCAGACUUUUUCUGGGCGGAUCAUCCGGGGUUCUCUCCGGUGCACUUCGCCCAGUAAAGGCCAGCAUCGGUUUUCGGCGUGGGAUAAAAGCAGUAGGAAUGUGGCUCUCUACGGGGAGUGUUAUAGCCUAUUGUAUAAUACCGCGCUGGGGACCGAGGUUCGCGCUUCUGCAAG
rnacentral:rRNA from 1 species